rnacentral:rRNA from 1 species
GACGAACGCUGGCGGCGUGCCUAAUACAUGCAAGUAGAACGCUGAAGCGAGGAGCUUGCUCUUCUUGGAUGAGUUGCGAACGGGUGAGUAACGCGUAGGUAACCUGCCUUGUAGCGGGGGAUAACUAUUGGAAACGAUAGCUAAUACCGCAUAACAAUGGAUGACACAUGUCAUUUAUUUGAAAGGGGCAAUUGCUCCACUACAAGAUGGACCUGCGUUGUAUUAGCUAGUAGGUGAGGUAAUGGCUCACCUAGGCGACGAUACAUAGCCGACCUGAGAGGGUGAUAGGCCACACUGGGACUGAGACACGGCCCAGACUCCUACGGGAGGCAGCAGUAGGUAAUCUUCGGCAAUGGGGGCAACCCUGACCGAGCAACGCCGCGUGAGUGAAGAAGGUUUUCGGAUCGUAAAGCUCUGUUGUAAGUAAAGAACGGGUGUGAGAGUGGAAAGUUCACACUGUGACGGUAGCUUACCAGAAAGGGACGGCUAACUACGUG